rnacentral:lncRNA from 1 species
UUUUUGAAGAUUUCAAAAUAACUGAUGAAAUAAAAUAUGACAUUCUUAAGAGACCAUGGACAUCAAUUCAUUCUUAUGAAACUGAACAUGUAUCUACCUUUCGUCGAUUAUUUGAUAGCAGAGUUGAAUACAAGACUUCUGACAGCAGAGCCACUUUAUGUAGCACAAAAGUUAAUCCAAAAAAACGUUGACCAACUUACUUUAGCUGUUGGGGACAUAAUCUUUAAUGAAAUGCAGAUGAUUCCCAUGUUACAAAAGACGAAUUUCAAGAUCGAAAUUCGGAGAUGGUAAGCAAAAUGCCGGUCUCGACGGCAACGCGGGCAGAACGGUUCUUUAGUACCAUGAGAAGAGUGAAGACCUAGUUGAGAAAUACAAUGAAAACGAAUCGAUUAUCUGGACUCGUCUUUUGAAAC